rnacentral:lncRNA from 1 species
GCCCACCUAUAAAAGGGACCCAAUUGUUGGAUGCCCAAUAAGAGAAGUGUAAUUUCAAGAAGAGAAAAAUAGUUUUCUCUAGCCCCUCCUCCUUCCCUUAGUUCUUCGCUCUGUAGAGUGUCCAAGAGAUUUAAAGAAAAAGAAGAAAUCAGCCAUCAAAGAUCUUCGCUAAAAGAAUAAUGUCCCAUAAGCCAAUCAUAUAUGGGAUG